UACGAAGGGGGCUAGCGUUGCUCGGAAUGACUGGGCGUAAAGGGCGCGUAGGCGGUUCGGACAGUCAGAUGUGAAAUUCCUGGGCUCAACCUGGGGACUGCAUUUGAUACGUCUGGACUAGAGUGGGGAAGAGGGUCGUGGAAUUUCCAGUGUAGAGGUGAAAUGCGUAGAUAUUGGAAAGAACACCGGUGGCGAAGGCGGCGACCUGGUCCUUGACUGACGCUGAGGCGCGAAAGCGUGGGGAGCAAACAGG
rnacentral:rRNA from 1 species